rnacentral:rRNA from 1 species
UACGUAGGGGCCUAGCGUUGUCCGGAAUUAUUGGGCGUAAAGAGCUCGUAGGCGGUUCGGCAAGUCGGAUGUGAAAUCUCCACGCUCAACGUGGAGGGGCCAUUCGAAACUGCCGUGACUCGAGUCCGGUAGGGGAGUGUGGAAUUCCCGGUGUAGCGGUGAAAUGCGCAGAUAUCGGGAGGAACACCUAUGGCGAAGGCAGCUCGCUGGGACGUUACUGACGCUGAGACGCGAAAGCGUGGGGAGCAAACAGG